ACACCGUUGGUGAAACGGUAUCAUGCGUCGUUGCCAAGCGCAGACUCGACGCGGCAGGGGUUCGACUCCCUUACGGUGUA
rnacentral:tRNA from 1 species